rnacentral:lncRNA from 1 species
GGGUGCGAGUGCUGCCAUGUAGCGGCAUUAGCCUACUCUUUUUCGAAAUCUACAAGGGUGUCUUUAAUUAACGUGCAAGAGAUAUGGCUCUCUCUUAACACGGGUCAGUCAUUUAUCGUCCCCUUCCGACGGACUAUCAUCGUUUCCUCAAGACCAUACUCGCAGAUGGUGUCAAGGGAGAGCCGAAAAUUAAGUUCCUGAAAUUUUCAUCCCAAACGGGAAUCGAACCAGGAACCUUUGUGUUAGUAGUCCGAUGCACUAGCCACUAC